AUUGAACGCUGGCGGCAGGCCUAACACAUGCAAGUCGAACGCGUGGCGGACGGGUGAGUAAUGUCUGGGAAACUGCCUGAUGGAGGGGGAUAACUACUGGAAACGGUAGCUAAUACCGCAUACCAUCAGAUGUGCCCAGAAGGGAUUAGCUUGUUGGUGGGGUAAAGGAUCACCAAGGCGACGCUCCCUAGCUGGUCGGAGAGGAUGACCAGCCACCCUGGAACAUGACCACGACCCAGAGUCCUACGGGAGGAAGCAGUGGGGAAUAUUGCACAAGGGGCGCAGGCCUGAUGCAGCCAUGCCGCGUGGAUGAAGAAGGCCUUCGGGUUGUAAAGUACUUUCAGCGGGGAGGCGUUACCCGCAGAAGAAGCACCGGCUAACUCCGUGCCAGCAGCCGCGGUAAUAC
rnacentral:rRNA from 1 species